ensembl:snRNA U1 U1 spliceosomal RNA
AUAUUCAUUUGGCAGAGAAAAUACCAUCUUCAUGAAGGUGGUUUUGCCUUGAAGAGUCUCCUCUGUUUCUCUCCAGAAGUGCUGACCUCUGCAGUUUUCCCAAAUGUGGGAAACUUGACUGCAGUACUUGGCGGGGAAGGGGGCUGUGUUUGCACUUUCUCGGG